CUCGUCGACUGCUCCCAACCCCACACGAAGGGAGUUAUCUCCACCAGAGUUAGUCGCACUGCGCGCGUCACCGCGGCCAGAGAAGAGAGAGCGAAGCGUUUUUGUGCCGCUGCGCCCUGAGAGGAAUCAUAAACUUCUCUUGAAGGUCACGCCACCUGGCGUGCAGGCCACAUAGGGUUUUCGGAGGCUUACGAAGGGAAAAGCCUAUGCGUGUGCAUGUCUGGCCCUGUCACGCUCUCUAAUCGAAGGGAACUGGCAGAGCUCAUAGCGAGGGUAGCUUAGUGUCACUUUUUUUGUAUAUCUAGUUGCUGGUUUUGGCGGAGAGGAGGGGCGUCGUCCUGGAAACAUCCCACGGCGGUUUGUGAUCUGCACAGAUACCAGCAGAGGAAAGGACGGCGGCAGCUGCCAUUCGCGCCGCGGCCGUUCAAGCGCUGGCCUUGUACUGUGGCCGCUAUCGCACGCUUGUCAUCUUGGAUGAGACCCGUCGCUGCUUCGGCGUGCUUGUACAUGGACGACUCGCGUGGAUCAGCUCUGUUUCCGCAACCGAGCACACCUGAGCCGCAGCGCUUCCAAUUCCGAAGCCUGCGGUGGUGCCCGGAGGCACAGACGCCAACGGCCCAGCGUAACGGAUCUGUGCCCUAUGCAGCGGAGGAGGUGGCCUAUAUGUAUGCUGACGAGGAGGGUGUGCCGCAUGCGCAGCGCUCCAACGUAGGGCAUCUCACGCGGUCGCAGCCGCAGGAUGACAGCGCUAGUCCUUGCACACCGCGAACGGUGUGUCAGCCUCGGACGAGGCAACGCGCGGAGCUAGCGAGCGCGCAUCCCUUUUCCGCCUCACUGCGCACCGCCCAUGCGUCCGCUGCUCCCCUGCAGCAGUCGCCGUGCUCAUUCAUGCCAUCCAUCGCGGAUGCUCCCGUGGUGCGUCGCACUCGGUCUCUCUCGUGUCCAAGUGCCGAUCGAUCCGUUGCACCAGCUCGCUGUUCAGUCGGGUACGGCACCAGCAGUGGAGUAGCAGGGCAAAACAUUGGCCGACACACUACCGUAUUGAGUGCUGUGCCACCCGCCGGUGUGAAUAUGUGUGGCUCGCCGUCCGCUGUUUUCGCUGCAUGCUCGACAGUGCCGUUACACUCGGCGUUGUCUACGACAGCGCACUCGAUGGCGAACGAGCAAGGCCGUGCGCUUCCGGAGCGUCACGACGGCGUUGAUCUGCCCGCUUGCGGAAGCAACGACGCCUUUUUCGCGCACACGUACACCACGCAGCCGUGUGCCACCUCCGCCUCCGUCCCACGGCUCACGCGUCUUUCGCUCUCCUCCAGCGGGCACAGCCCUGCUGUGCCGACGAACUGGUCUAUUGGCCGCCCGACCACGCUGCGUUGCCGCGACACGGACUCUGACGUGCACUGUGAUUGGGGCGCCAUUCAAGGGGAGGAUGAGGCGGAGAAGAAGUCGUUGAUCGGUUGUGCGACGCAAGUCUGGCGCGUCUCUGCCGAGGUGCGGAUGCCGCUGCAGUGUUCCCAUGGCACAGAGGCGAAAGAGGAGGAGGCGUUGCUCGGCGACCCGACCUCGCAUGGUGGUGACUACCUGACAAACGGCAGGGACGUAUUUGCGUCCUCGCCACCGAUUGCGUGGCAGCCAGCACCGCUCCCGGCGUCUUUUGCGGCCUCCCAGCUCGACCUUUCCGGCUGCGGCCAGGACAACGCUGUGCUGCUGAGCGGUGUACCUGUGGCGAGCGCCGAAGAGGAAGCCCACAAUGAAAGCCGCGAGGUGACGCGAUCGAACGCGAUACCGACAACCGGAGACAUUGCGGCCACGAAAUCGAACGGUUCCUUUGUCGGCUUGGAGGCUGCACCGCGCAAGGGCUAUGCCCGAUCCAACAGCGGCACGCCUCCGCGAAGCGAUCUCGGUUCUCCGAACAACGCGGCAAACCUGAAAGCGCAAGGUCGCGCCGCUAAUGGAGCGUCUGCAGGUGUCGAACUCGCGUCCCGCGCAGCAGCUUCGGAGACUAACUCUCACCACUUCGGGGCAUCUCUGUGUGCCAACAUCGGCAGCGGCUGCAGUGCCCGCUUGGGAAUAGCUGCGGAGUGGCGAGACCACAUGUGUACCGCCACCCCGCAGGGACGGGGCGUGUGGGUGGAUGCGCCGGCACAGCUGCGUGGGUCCGAAUACCCCCCCUCCACAACAACGGCUGAGGCGGUUGCCGCGCGGCUGGCGCACAUCUCUAUCCACACCUCUCCUACCCCAAAGCGACUGGCGUUUGAAGAGGAGGAGCUUGUCGAGAGGGUCAGCGGUGGCGGCUCGCCGACGCUGAUCCCUGCGGUGCGCAUUGUUGCGGACGGCGCUGCUCGACGGCGCGCUUGCAACGACGCUUCAGCUGCUCAAGGUGGUGGUGGCUCUACUGAAGUCGGCCUCCUGGGUAAAGGCGCCGGGGGCCUGGGCAGCAGCGGCAUGCGGUGGGCGUCGGCGUUUGGCGAUAGUGGUCAUCGUGAGCUGUGUAGCAGUCACAUCCCCAGCGGGCUGCAGCUGCUCCGCUCCCGAAAACGUUGCCUUGCCGAAAUGCAAGCGACAGACACGCAGGAAAGGCAUGCCGACACGCUGGUUACCGUAGGUAUCAACGACGCACACGAUGCAAGUUAUCUUGUACCCGAUAGGGUCGGUCCUAUGAGCUUAGCGACUCCUUUUGAGAACCUAGAGGAGGAGGGUGGCGACGGCGACGAGGAGGCAGUGAAGAGGCAGAGGCGCGAGGAGCAGCGUCGCACGCGACUGCAGCAUCUUCUCCCGGCUUCGCUAAACACGAUGGAUGACCUCAUUCCAUCUCCGGCGCGAGCUCUUGGGACGGGAGUUGCUCCCUGUUCAUUUCUACUCUCCUCGCGCGUGUGUAGCGCCGUGCACGGGAUCCAGUCGGCGCAGGAUCAGCAGCAUCAACAAGACCGCACCCGAAACGACGAUCCGGUUUCGUGGAGUCAGAUGAGCAGCAUCAGCUACGUGACGCCGGCGUCGCAGAGCACGUCGAUGGGCCUUUGGGGGAUGUCAAGCACACUCUCUCAAGACCACCACGGCGGCGCAGUGGUGUGUUCCGUCGGCUCCGGCUCGCAGGUGUUGACACCGCUCCCAACAAAUGUGACGCCGCAGCCAUCACGCAAACCGUAGAGAGAGUUGUUUGCCUCUUCACCAACACCAGCAGCGCGCUCGAGAGUUGUCUUGCACUUACUCGUGCGCAUCCCUCGGCCACAGGCUCAUGUCGGCGUGUCUCUCACUCUCUCACAGCCACUUUCGCUUUUGUUGUAUGUAUAUAUAUAUAUGUAUGUGUGUGUGCGUGUGUGCCAGGGUGCCGCUUCCUUUCGCUCUUUUUUUUUUACAUUGCGUGUCUCUCUCCAUAGGUGCAGGCUGGCCCCUGAUCAGCCCCUUCUCCCCCUCUUCCCACGCCCAGUGCGUCUGAACGCCGUUGUGCAGUGGACUGGCGCUUUCCGCGCCGCAGUUGCGUUCCGUCUUCUCACCUUAUUACUACUUUCUUUAGCGUAUUCUCACGUCAUCUUUACUUCACCACCACCUCGCCUCUCCUCCUUUGAAUACUUUGCCCUCUCCCUCUGAGCUGACCUAGAUUGUGUGUUCCCUUUCGAAAGCCGCCUCUGUCUCCCACCCAACCCCCACACUCCUCUUCGUGUUCUCUUUCUUGUGCUUUCAGCGCCGAGGCAACGGAACGGCCGCAAAUGACGACAGCGAGGAAGAAAGACGAAUGACCCUUGUGGGCACCCACGCAGUCCUCUCCUCUCGUUCUCUCUGCCCACUCCCCUUCCAGUUAUUCGCCUUCGUCAGCGUGAUGUUUCCUCUCACGCUGCGCUUCUCUUCCUUUUUGUUGUUCUGCCCUUCUCCAUUGCUACAUUUUUUCUGUGUUCCCCUGCACUCGUUAGAUCAGUGAGCGCACCGCGCGCCCCCCUCCCUCCCCCCAGCAUCGGCGGCUUUGCCUGCUUCUCACCCAUGUCGUGGAACUCAGCAAGUGCCGACACCCCUCUCGUCUCCCUCCCGCCACACGGAUACAUCAAGGCCCUACCUUGCCGUUCAUUUAUGUCAAGGAGUGUGUAAACGACCUUGUGUUUGUGUAUCGCGCUUGUCUUGAUGGCCGUUUCUUUACUGUGUUGCCGCGCCCUGGCUGUGCGUUUGCUAGAUUUCGGUUCUCGUGAGACCCACAGUCCCGGCGUCUCUUUUCACCCUGUAGAUUCCACACGCAACUCUUGUCGUGCUGUGUGUGUGCGUGUGUGCUUUCCGUUUGGUAGAUUGUAGUAGAUGCUCACGAUUCACUCGCGUGUUGGUGCUUGCUUGUUUUGUGUUGUUCUUUGUACACCGAAUCACCGAAGUAUGGUCUUUCUUUUUUGUGAUGUGCGCAUCGGCAGAUGACAGGAAGGGCCUGCCCCCUUCCCCUCACUACCCCCCUCCCCCCUCACCACCACCACCACCACGGAGAAACCCGCUUUUACGUUUUAUUCUUUUCCGUCCGCAGAAGAAUUCUCCACACCCCACGUCCGAAGAAUCAAAUAGUCGAAAACAAGUUGUGCGCAGUUUGCAGAACUGCAGCAGCGCGACCCUAUCACGAACUGUGUUGCAGCAGCGGUGAGCGAAAGGGAUCCGAGGUGCCUGCCUCUCAGUGCUUGUGCUGUCGCGUUGUAUCACUCGCGGCCGGUGCAGGCACCCUGCUUUUUGCGGGGCGCGAAACGGGGCGGAAACCCCCCAGACAAGAUUCAUCUCUUGGACUUCAUAAC
rnacentral:misc_RNA from 1 species